AUUGAACGCUGGCGGCAGGCCUAACACAUGCAAGUCGAGCGGAUGAAGGGAGCUUGCUCCUGGAUUCAGCGGCGGACGGGUGAGUAAUGCCUAGGAAUCUGCCUGGUAGUGGGGGAUAACGUCCGGAAACGGGCGCUAAUACCGCAUACGUCCUGAGGGAGAAAGUGGGGGAUCUUCGGACCUCACGCUAUCAGAUGAGCCUAGGUCGGAUUAGCUAGUUGGUGGGGUAAAGGCCUACCAAGGCGACGAUCCGUAACUGGUCUGAGAGGAUGAUCAGUCACACUGGAACUGAGACACGGUCCAGACUCCUACGGGAGGCAGCAGUGGGGAAUAUUGGACAAUGGGCGAAAGCCUGAUCCAGCCAUGCCGCGUGUGUGAAGAAGGUCUUCGGAUUGUAAAGCACUUUAAGUUGAGGAAGGGCAGUAAGUUAAUACCUUGCUGUUUUGACGUUACCAACAGAAUAAGCACCGGCUAACUUCGUG
rnacentral:rRNA from 1 species